UGGGGAAUAUUGCACAAUGGGCGAAAGCCUGAUGCAGCCACGCCGCGUGAGUGAUGAAGGCCUUCGGGUUGUAAAGCUCUGUCUUCUGGGACGAUAAUGACGGUACCAGAGGAGGAAGCCACGGCUAACUACGUGCCAGCAGCCGCGGUAAUACGUAGGGGGCAAGCGUUGUCCGGAUUUACUGGGUGUAAAGGGCGUGGAGGCGGGAUAAAAAGUCAGUGGUGAAAUCCUACAGCUUAACUGUAGAACUGCCUUUGAUACUUUUAGUCUUGAGUUCGGGAGAGNGAGACGGAAUUCCAGGUGUAGUGGUGAAAUACGUAGAUAUCUGGAAGAACACCAGUUGCGAAGGCGGUCUCUUGGUCCGACACUGACGCUGAGGCGCGAAAGCGUGGGGAGCAAAC
rnacentral:rRNA from 1 species